rnacentral:rRNA from 1 species
GAGUUUGAUCUUGGCUCAGAUUGAACGCUGGCGGCAGGCCUAACACAUGCAAGUCGGGCGGUAGAGAGAAGCUUGCUUCUCUUGAGAGCGGCGGACGGGUGAGUAAUGCCUAGGAAUCUGCCUGGUAGUGGGGGAUAACGCUCGGAAACGGACGCUAAUACCGCAUACGUCCUACGGGAGAAAGCAGGGGACCUUCGGGCCUUGCGCUAUCAGAUGAGCCUAGGUCGGAUUAGCUAGUUGGUGAGGUAAUGGCUCACCAAGGCGACGAUCCGUAACUGGUCUGAGAGGAUGAUCAGUCACACUGGAACUGAGACACGGUCCAGACUCCUACGGGAGGCAGCAGUGGGGAAUAUUGGACAAUGGGCGAAAGCCUGAUCCAGCCAUGCCGCGUGUGUGAAGAAGGUCUUCGGAUUGUAAAGCACUUUAAGUUGGGAGGAAGGGCAGUAAAUUAAUACUUUGCUGUUUUGACGUUACCGACAGAAUAAGCACGGCUAACUCUGUGCCAGCAG